rnacentral:rRNA from 1 species
GGGGAAUAUUGGACAAUGGGCGCAAGCCUGAUCCAGCAAUGCCGCGUGGAUGAAGAAGGUCUUCGGAUUGUAAAGUCCUUUCGACGGGCACGAUGAUGACGGUACCCGUAGAAGAAGCCCCGGCUAACUUCGUGCCAGCAGCCGCGGUAAUACGAAGGGGGCUAGCGUUGCUCGGAAUUACUGGGCGUAAAGGGCGCGUAGGCGGCCCUACAAGUCAGGCGUGAAAUUCCCGGGCUCAACCUGGGGGCUGCGCUUGAGACUGUGGGGCUAGAGGCCGAGAGAGGGUGGUGGAAUUCCCAGUGUAGAGGUGAAAUUCGUAGAUAUUGGGAAGAAUACCGGUGGCGAAGGCGGCCACCUGGCUCGGUACUGACGCUGAGGCGCGACAGCGUGGGGAGCAAAC